AAACUUUCUUUUGGUUCACAGCAUUUAAUGAUGGUUCUCCCAUUCCCAAUUUUUUGAAAAUACUCAGGUGACGAUUACAAGAUUCAGAGAUUCAAUCUGACCUACUUAGUUCAAAAGGAGCCUUUGUUUUCUUCAGAUGAACAUUGCAGUGGGCAUACCAUGGAGCCAGACCACCAGCAGAGCAUUAAACAAGGACAGAUGUGAAUGCCAGGAUAAAAAUGAAGACAUUCCUGAAGUCAAGACAUCUCACCCUAUCACUAGCACACUUUUGGGUAUUAUGAAGAAAAAGAUUGAAAUUCACCUGGGAGCGCAUGCUGCUAAACCAAGCUCAUGUAUGAAAUUGACAGCUCAUAAGGUAAAAGGCCUUUACUUCAAAAUGACAGCAGCGCUCUGA
rnacentral:lncRNA from 1 species